rnacentral:rRNA from 1 species
CCUACGGGGGGCAGCAGUGGGGGAUAUUGCACAAUGGGGGAAACCCUGAUGCAGCGACGCCGCGUGUGGGAAGACGGUCUUCUGGAUUGUAAACCACUGUCACCAGGGACGAAAAUGACGGUACCGGGGGAGGAAGCGCCGGCUAACUACGUGCCAGCAGCCGCGGUAAUACGUAGGGAGCAAGCGUGGUCCGGAAUUACUGGGUGUAAAGGGAGCGUAGGGGGGGAUGCAAGUUGGGUGUCAAAACUACCGGCUCAACCGAUAGUCGCACUCAAAACUGCAGCUCUUGAGUGAAGUAGAGGCAGGCGGAAUUCCUAGUGUAGCGGUGAAAUGCGUAGAUAUUAGGAGGAACACCAGUGGCGAAGGCGGCCUGCUGGGCUUUUACUGACGCUGAUGCUCGAAAGUGUGGGGAGCAAACAGGAUUAGAUACCCUGGUAGUC